rnacentral:rRNA from 1 species
AUACGGAGGGUGCGAGCGUUAAUCGGAAUUACUGGGCGUAAAGCGCGCGUAGGCGGUUUGUUAAGUCGGAUGUGAAAUCCCCGGGCUCAACCUGGGACCUGCAUCCGAUACUGGCAGGCUAGAGUCUGAUAGAGGGGGGUAGAAUUCCUGGUGUAGCGGUGAAAUGCGUAGAUAUCAGGAGGAAUACCAGUGGCGAAGGCGGCCCCCUGGACUGAGACUGACGCUGAGGUGCGAAAGCGUGGGGAGCAAACAGGAUUAGAAACCCCAGUAGUCC